rnacentral:rRNA from 1 species
GGUGAACGCUGGCGGCGUGCUUAACACAUGCAAGUCGAACGGGACUUGUUAAGUUGAAACUUCGGUCGAUUCUUUUCAAGUCUAGUGGCGGACGGGUGAGUAACGCGUGGGUAACCUGCCUCACACUGGGGGAUAACAGUCAGAAAUGACUGCUAAUACCGCAUAAGCGCACAGCAUCGCAUGAUGCUGUGUGAAAAACUCCGGUGGUGUGAGAUGGACCCGCGUUGGAUUAGCUAGUUGGCAGGGCAGCGGCCUACCAAGGCGACGAUCCAUAGCCGGCCUGAGAGGGUGAACGGCCACAUUGGGACUGAGACACGGCCCAG